UUUAAUUAAGAUUUGACUAAGAUUUGACUAGGAUUUGAUUAAGAUAUGAUUAGAAUAUGAUUAAAACUUAUUUAAGAUUUGGCUAGGAUUUGAUUGAGGUUUGAUUAUAAUUUGAUUAGGAUUUGAUUAGAAUUUUACUAGGAUUUGAUUAGAAUUUUACUAGGAUUUGAUUAGAAUUUUACUAAGAUUUGAUUUAGAUUUUAGUAAAGAUUCACAAGAAUUUUAAUUAGAAUUUUAAUAAGUAUUUGACUUAAAAUUUGAUUAAGAUUUAUU
rnacentral:lncRNA from 1 species